UAAUACGUAGGACCCAAGCGUUAUCCGGAGUGACUGGGCGUAAAGAGUUGCGUAGGUGGUCAGUAAAGCGAAUAGUGAAAUCUGGUGGCUCAACCAUUCAGGCUAUUAUUCGAACUCACUGACUCGAGAACAGCAGAGGUAACUGGAAUUUCUGAAGUAGGGGUAAUAUCCGUAGAUAUCAGAAGGAACACCAAUGGCGUAGGCAGGUUACUGGGCUGUUUCUGACACUGAGGCACGAAAGCGUGGGGAGCGAACCGGAUUAGAUACCCGGGUAGUCCACGCCGUAAACGAUGGAUACUAGCUGUUGGAGGUAUCGACCCCUUCAGUAGCGAAGCUAACGCGUUAAGUAUCCCGCCUGUGGAGUACGGUCGCAAGACUAAAACAUAAAGGAAUUGACGGGGACCCGCACAAGCGGUGGAUCAUGUUCUUUAAUUCGAUGCUAAACGAAGAACCUUACCAGGGCUUGACAUCCCGAGAAUUUCUCCGAAAGGAGAGAGUGCUUUAUUGAACUCGGUGACAGAUGUUGCAUGGCCGUCGUCAGCUCGUGUCGUGAGAUGUUUGGUUAAGUCCAUCAACGAGCGCAACCCUUGUGAAUAGUUGUAUUUUUCUAUUCAGACUGCCCCGGCAACGGGGAGGAAGGAGGGGAUGAUGUCAGGUCAGUAUUACUCUUACGUCCUGGGCUAGAAACGUGAUACAAUGGCAGGUACAAUGCGCAGCGAAGCCGCGAGGUGAAGCAAAUCGCACCAAAGCCUGUCCCAGUUCGGAUUGGAGGCUGAAACUCGCCUCCAUGAAGUCGGAAUCGCUAGUAAUCGCAAGUCAGCAAAUUGCGGUGAAUACGUUCCCGGGUCUUGUACACACCGCCCGUCAAACCAUGAAAGUGACCAACACCCGAAGUCCGAUUCGUCGGCCUAAGGUGGGGGGCAUGAUUGGGGUUAAGUCGUAACAAGGUAGCCG
rnacentral:rRNA from 1 species